rnacentral:rRNA from 1 species
AAUUGCUGUAGUAUUUUGACUAUACAAAGGUAUUGUAAUAAGAUUUUAAUUGAAUGCUAAAAGAAUGGAAAUUUAAAAAAAAACUUUUUUAAAAAUAAAAAUUGAAUUUUUUUUAAUUUGUGCAAAAACAAUUAUUAUUAUUAAAGACAAGAAGACCCUAAGAAUUUAUGAUUUUGCAAUUAGAAUUUUUUUCAAAAAAUCUUGAUUGGGGCGAUCAAAAAAUAUUAAUAACUUUUUAAAUUUAAAUUGAUCUAUUAUUAAUAAACUAAUGAAUUAAAUACUCUAGGGAUAACAGCGUAAUAAUUUUUGAUAGAUCUUAUUGACAAAAUAGUUUGCGACCUCGAUGUUGG